AUGGCCCCCCCGAUGGUUCUGCUCAACCGCCAUGUUGAUUUUUCCCACGACGAGGCCGCAGUGCCAAUCCCCUCCCCCUGCCCGUGGGGAGCAAGCAACAAAGAGAUGAGUGAUGCAGUCAUCGAGUACCUGCGCGCCCUCAAGGCCCGCGCAGUCGUCGCCUCUCCGCCGCAACUCUCCUCCCUCCGCAUACUACCGCCGCCGAAUUCCGCCCCGCUCCUAGGCCUGCGCUCGGGCCACAUCUCCAGCGCGGACAAGAACCUGGUCGCCCUCUACGCCGGAGGGUACCGCCCUGGCGCCGAAACGUUUGCGGAGAUGGGAGCCUAUCUCAUCUACGACGCCAGGGAUGGCUCCCUCUCCGUCAUCCCCCCUAUCCCCUCCCACGACGAGUAUAUGGCCAUGGGGCACCAGUCGGCCGUCGUCAUGUGCGACGCCACCGGGGGUGGCUACCUUCUUGCCGAGCUCGUCUGGGUCAUGCCAGGCUUCUCCCGAGCCGCCGUCUGGCUGUGGGAGUCGUCUGCCAAAGAAUGGGUCUUGAAGCCCGGCUGCCUGCCCCUUCCACCCAACAUAGCCAUGUAUUUCUCCAUUCACUCGUGCUUCUCUUAUCGGGGCUCUACCUUCUGCUGGGUGGAUCUCCACCAAGGCAUGGUGCUCUGUGAUCUGCACCAAGGCUGCAAGUUGAGCUUCAUUGAGUUGCCCCAAGGACGUCCAAACUAUGAUGCCUCCGACUAUCCAGGCGGCCUCUGUGCUGAGGAGUUCCGUUCCGUGGCCUGUGUUCGUGGCUCCAUCAAGUUCCUUGCCUUCAAUAAAUUUGUUGAACGCAAGCCCGGCGAAGAAUAUGGACUGACCGUCUGGACUCUCUACCCUGACCACCCAGGGUGGAGCAUAAGCUACCAGUGCAGCGUCCAAGACAUCUGGGCAAACACCAACUACCAGUCUGCUGGUUUGAGACAGCUUGCUCCGUCGUUCCCUGUCCUGAGCAUCCAUCAAGACGGCGUCGUCUACCUAGUCGUAAACGAUACCAGUGUGGUGGGGAAGGACCGUCGACUAGUGCACAAGGCCCAGUAUUUGCUUCGUGUUGACAUGGGGAAUAACAACGAUGUCCAGGUCUAUCAACAGAAGACGACGCAUAUUUAUUCCCAGCUCUUUGCAAGUGAGUUCAGUGCGCACCGACGACAGGAUCACCCGAGAGAGAUAGAAGCAGCAAGCGAGUCUGGCGCAAGUGGAAAGAAGACGAAGGCCUGA
rnacentral:rRNA from 1 species